GAAACAUUUACCAGAUGUGUGGCUUGAGUGUCCAUUCCCGCAACAAAAACGCUCUGCAGUAAAGCUCCGAGAUGGCUGUGUUUGUGUUGGACUGCUCUAGAUGCACAACCCUCCUGGACAAAGCGUUUUUCCUCAGCCUUCACCACCCAUGGAGGAGGUGUGAUUACCUCUAUUCACAGAAAGGAGACUGGGACCCAACCAAGGCAAGUCAUUUGCUUCAGACCACAGAGCAAAGAAUCAUUCUGUCAUUCCAGAAAUAUUUGUCAGGCGCCCCUGGUGUGUCAGGUAGACGCACCCUCUGAAGAUGGUGACUCCCUCCUGAGAAGCUGGACCCCUUGGUAAAAGACAAGGCCUUCUCCAAGAAGAAUAUGAAAGUGUUACUCAGACUUAUUUGUUUCAUAGCUCUACUGAUUUCUUCUCUGGAGGCUGAUAAAUGCAAGGAACGUGAAGAAAAAAUAAUUUUAGUGUCAUCUGCAAAUGAAAUUGAUGUUCGUCCCUGUCCUCUUAACCCAAAUGAACACAAAGGCACUAUAACUUGGUAUAAAGAUGACAGCAAGACACCUGUAUCUACAGAACAAGCCUCCAGGAUUCAUCAACACAAAGAGAAAC
rnacentral:lncRNA from 1 species